GGAUUUAGUAGACAGAAGCUUCGGUGGAAGCAUUACUAAUGCAGAGUGGCGAAACGGGUGAGUCAACGCGUGAGCAACCUGCCUAUGACAGUGGGGUAGCCUCGGGAAACCGGGAUUAAUACCGCAUAAAAUCGUAGAAACACAUGUUUUAACGGUCAAAGAUUUAUCGGUCAUAGAUGGGCUCGCGUCUGAUUAGCUAGUUGGUGAGAUAACUGCCCACCAAGGCGACGAUCAGUAGCCGACCUGAGAGGGUGAUCGGCCACAUUGGAACUGAGACACGGUCCAAACUCCUACGGGAGGCAGCAGUGGGGAAUAUUGCACAAUGGGCGCAAGCCUGAUGCAGCAACGCCGCGUGAACGAUGAAGGUCUUCGGAUCGUAAAGUUCUGUUGCAGGGGAAGAUAAUGACGGUACCCUGUGAGGAAGCCCCGGCUAACUACGUGCCAGCAGCCGCGGUAAUACGUAGGGGGCUAGCGUUAUCCGGAUUUACUGGGCGUAAAGGGUGCGUAGGUGGUCUUUCAAGUCGGUGGUUAAAGGCUACGGCUCAACCGUAGUUAGCCUCCGAAACUGGAAGACUUGAGUGCAGGAGAGGAAAGUGGAAUUCCCAGUGUAGCGGUGAAAUGCGUAGAUAUUGGGAGGAACACCAGUAGCGAAGGCGGCUUUCUGGACUGCAACUGACACUGAGGCACGAAAGCGUGGGUAGCAAACAGGAUUAGAUACCCUGGUAGUCCACGCUGUAAACGAUGAGUACUAGGUGUCGGGGGUUACCCCCCUCGGUGCCGCAGCUAACGCAUUAAGUACUCCGCCUGGGGAGUACGCACGCAAGUGUG
rnacentral:rRNA from 1 species